CCAGACUCCUACGGGAGGCAGCAGUGAGGAAUAUUGGUCAAUGGGCGCGAGCCUGAACCAGCCAAGUCGCGUGAGGGAAGACGGUCCUAUGGAUUGUAAACCUCUUUUGUCGGGGAGCAAAAGACGCCACGCGUGGCGUUCCGAGAGUACCCGAAGAAAAAGCAUCGGCUAACUCCGUGCCAGCAGCCGCGGUAAUACGGAGGAUGCGAGCGUUAUCCGGAUUUAUUGGGUUUAAAGGGUGCGCAGGCGGAAGAUCAAGUCAGGGUUAAAAUUGAGGGGCUCAACCUCCCCGAGCCGUUGAAACUGGUUUUCUUGAGUGAGUGAGAAGUAUGCGGAAUGCGUGGUGUAGCGGUGAAAUGCAUAGAUAUCGCGCAGAACUCCGAUUGCGAAGGCAGCAUGCCAGCGCCACACUGACGCUGAGGCACGAAAGCGUGGGUAUCGAACAGGAUUAGAUACCCCCGUAAA
rnacentral:rRNA from 1 species